rnacentral:rRNA from 1 species
AUACGAAGGUGGCGAGCGUUACUCGGAAUGACUAGGCGUAAAGGGCAGGUAGGUGGUUUGGUAAGUCUGCUGUGAAAGCUCCUGGCUUAACUGGGAGAGGUCAGCAGAUACUGUCAAGCUUGAGUAUGGGAGAGGGUACUGGAAUUCCCGGUGUAGCGGUGAAAUGCGCAGAUAUCGGGAGGAACACCCGUAGCGAAGGCGGCACUCUGGGCCGAUACUGACGCUGAGGAGCGAAAGCGUGGGGAGCAAACAGGAUUAGAAACCCCGGUAGUCC